AUGAACGCUGGCGGCGUGCCUAAUACCUGCAAGUCGCGCGAACAGACGAGGAGCUUGCUCCUCUGACGUUAGCGGCGGACGGGUGAGUAACACGUGGAUAACCUACCUAUAAGACUGGGAUAACUUCGGGAAACCGGAGCUAAUACCGGAUAAUAUAUUGAACCGCAUGGUUCAAUAGUGAAAGACGGUUUUGCUGUCACUUAUAGAUGGAUCCGCGCCGCAUUAGCUAGUUGGUAAGGUAACGGCUUACCAAGGCGACGAUGCGUAGCCGACCUGAGAGGGUGAUCGGCCACACUGGAACUGAGACACGGUCCAGACUCCUACGGGAGGCAGCAGUAGGGAAUCUUCCGCAAUGGGCGAAAGCCUGACGGAGCAACGCCGCGUGAGUGAUGAAGGUCUUCGGAUCGUAAAACUCGGUUAUUAGGGAAGAACAAAUGUGUAAGUAACUAUGCACGUCUUGACGGUACCUAAUCAGAAAGCCACGGCUAACUACGUG
rnacentral:rRNA from 1 species